AUUGAACGCUGGCGGCAUGCCUUACACAUGCAAGUCGAACGGCAGCAUAGGAGCUUGCUCCUGAUGGCGAGUGGCGAACGGGUGAGUAAUAUAUCGGAACGUGCCCUAGAGUGGGGGAUAACUAGUCGAAAGACUAGCUAAUACCGCAUACGAUCUACGGAUGAAAGUGGGGGAUCGCAAGACCUCAUGCUCCUGGAGCGGCCGAUAUCUGAUUAGCUAGUUGGUGGGGUAAAAGCCUACCAAGGCAACGAUCAGUAGCUGGUCUGAGAGGACGACCAGCCACACUGGGACUGGGACACGGCCCAGACUCCUACGGGAGGCAGCAGUGGGGAAUUUUGGACAAUGGGGGCAACCCUGAUCCAGCAAUGCCGCGUGAGUGAAGAAGGCCUUCGGGUUGUAAGGCUCUUUUGUCAGGGAAGAAACGGUAGUAGCGAAUAACUACUACUAAUGACGGUACCUGAAGAAUAAGCACCGGCUAACUACGUGCCAGCCGCCGCGGUAA
rnacentral:rRNA from 1 species